rnacentral:pre_miRNA from 1 species
GUUAUACUCCCCCCGUCCCAAAAAGCUUGUCUUAGAUUUGUCUUGAUACAGAUGUACCUAGACACGUUUUAGUGUUAGAUUCAUCUGUAUCUAGAUAAAUCUAAGAAAAACUUUUUGGAAUGGACGUAAUAGAAC